rnacentral:rRNA from 1 species
CCUACGGGAGGCAGCAGUGGGGAAUUUUGGACAAUGGGCGAAAGCCUGAUCCAGCAAUGCCGCGUGAGUGAAGAAGGCCUUCGGGUUGUAAAGCUCUUUUGUCAGGGAAGAAACGGUGAGAGCUAAUAUCUUUUGCUAAUGACGGUACCUGAAGAAUAAGCACCGGCUAACUACGUGCCAGCAGCCGCGGUAAUACGUAGGGUGCAAGCGUUAAUCGGAAUUACUGGGCGUAAAGCGUGCGCAGGCGGUUUUGUAAGUCUGAUGUGAAAUCCCCGGGCUCAACCUGGGAAUUGCAUUGGAGACUGCAAGGCUAGAAUCUGGCAGAGGGGGGUAGAAUUCCACGUGUAGCAGUGAAAUGCGUAGAUAUGUGGAGGAACACCGAUGGCGAAGGCAGCCCCCUGGGUCAAGAUUGACGCUCAUGCACGAAAGCGUGGGGAGCAAACAGGAUUAGAUACCCUGGUAGUCCACGCCCUAAACGAUGUCUACUAGUUGUCGGGUCUUAAUUGACUUGGUAACGCAGCUAACGCGUGAAGUAGACCGCCUGGGGAGUACGGUUCGCAAGAUUAAAACUCAAAUUGAAUUGACGGG